rnacentral:rRNA from 1 species
GUCGAGCGGUAGAGAGGUGCUUGCACCUCUUGAGAGCGGCGGACGGGUGAGUAAAGCCUAGGAAUCUGCCUGGUAGUGGGGGAUAACGCUCGGAAACGGACGCUAAUACCGCAUACGUCCUACGGGAGAAAGCAGGGGACCUUCGGGCCUUGCGCUAUCAGAUGAGCCUAGGUCGGAUUAGCUAGUUGGUGAGGUAAUGGCUCACCAAGGCGACGAUCCGUAACUGGUCUGAGAGGAUGAUCAGUCACACUGGAACUGAGACACGGUCCAGACUCCUACGGGAGGCAGCAGUGGGGAAUAUUGGACAAUGGGCGAAAGCCUGAUCCAGCCAUGCCGCGUGUGUGAAGAAGGUCUUCGGAUUGUAAAGCACUUUAAGUUGGGAGGAAGGGCAUUAACCUAAUACGUUAGUGUUUUGACGUUACCGACAGAAUAAGCACCGGCUAACUCUGUGCCAGCAGCCGCGGUAAUACAGAGGGUGCAAGCGUUAAUCGGAAUUACUGGGCGUAAAGCGCGCGUAGGUGGUUCGUUAAGUUGGAUGUGAAAUCCUCGGGCUCAACCUGGGAACUGCAUUCAAAACUGUCGAGCUAGAGUAUG